GGGGGAAUCUUGGACAAUGGGCGCAAGCCUGAUCCAGCCAUGCCGCGUGAGUGAAGAAGGCCUUAGGGUUGUAAAGCUCUUUUGCCAGGGACGAUAAUGACGGUACCUGGAGAAUAAGCCCCGGCAAACUUCGUGCCAGCAGCCGCGGUAAUACGAAGGGGCUAGCGUUGUUCGGAUUUACUGGGCGUAAAGCGCACGUAGGCGGGUCGUUAAGUCAGGGGUGAAAUCCCGGAGCUCAACUCCGGAACUGCCUUUGAUACUGGCGACCUUGAGGCUGGAAGAGGUUAGUGGAAUUCCCAGUGUAGAGGUGAAAUUCGUAGAUAUUGGGAAGAACACCAGUGGCGAAGGCGGCUAACUGGUCCAGAUCUGACGCUGAGGUGCGAAAGCGUGGGGAGCAAACAGGAUUAGAUACCC
rnacentral:rRNA from 1 species